rnacentral:rRNA from 1 species
GUCGCGGCCUACCAUGCAGUCGAACGGACCCCUUCGGGUGUCUGUGGCACACGGGUGAAUAACACGUGGGAACGUGCCCUUCGGCUCAGAAUAUCUCGGGAAACUUGAGCUAAUACCGGAUACGCCCUUCUGGGGAAAUGUUUACUGCCGAAGGAUCGGCCCGCGUCUGAUUAUAUUGUUGGUGGGGUUGCGGCCUACCAGGGCGAAUAUCUAUAUGUGGUCUGAGAGGAUGAUCCCCCAUUGUGGGACUGACACACGGCCCACACUCCUACGGGAGGCAGCAGUGGAAACUAUUGCACUGUGGGCGCACCCCUGAUCCACCCGUGCCGCGUGAGUGAUGAGGGCCUUAAGUGUGUAAUUCUCUUUUGUCCGGCACUAUAGUGACGGCCCCGAAAAAAUACCCCCCGUAUAUCUUCGUGCCAACACCCGCGGUAAUACAAGGGGGGCUAGCGUUGCUCAAAAUCUGUGGGCGUAGGGGGCGCAUACGCGGCCGAUUAACUCAGGGGUGAAAGCCUGUGUCUCAACCACAAAAGUGCCUUCUAUACUGGAUGUUGUGAGACCGAAAGAGGACAGCAAAACUGCGAGUGUAGAGGUGAAAUUCAUAUAUAUUCACAAGAACACCAGUGGAGAGCGAGGCUGUCUGUCCCUACUCUGACUCUGACGCGAGAAAGCGUGGAGAGCACACGAGAUUAUAUACUCUGAUACUCCACGCCGUACAAUAUUAGUGACAUGCGUUGCUCUGCUUGCAUGUCAGUGGCGCCUAUCACGCUUUACGCAUUCCCGUCUGCAGAGUACUCUCGCGAAUAUUAACUCUCAGGAGUUGUGACGGGGCGCCCCGCACGACGCUGGUACGUGAUGUGUUUUAUUAUUCUUCAG